CCCGCGUAGCCUGCGGGCCCCUGGCGGCCCAGGGCAUGGGGCAGAGACGCCAUGCCGGCUGAUACACACGCCCAGAGGAGGUGCGGCCGGCGGGGGACAGGGAAAGAGAUCACAGCGAAGACCCAGAAGAAACAAAAGGCAAGCGAAUGUAAGAGCUUCACCACCUUCCCACUCCAGGACGGUGGACAACAAGAGGUUUGAAAGCUGUGAUGUCCUCACUGUCUUCCUUCCCUCUCAUGGAAUGAAAAGUCGUUUUUGCCAGAAUAUUAUACCUGCAAGAUCUCACGGGGAGGAGACUGCAGCCCACCCGCUGGAAAUUUUUGCCUACAGAAAGCUUCCGUUUUUUUGCAACCCAAAGACAGACUUUUAUAGCCUCUCCAACUCCCCUUGAAUUUUUAAGAGAGAGAAAGAAAAGCCCCAAAGUGAAAGAUAGUGGUCAUUUAUGCCUUGGAAAGAUAAACGGGUGUUUUAGUUUUGUUUUUAAAUGAAUUUUCCUUUUCUAAAGAAUUUCAAAAAAUUA